AUGAAAUCAAAACUCCUAGCCCUUGGGCCUACGUUAUUCCACGUGAAUGAUAUGGCGCCUGGGCCGUGGCGAAGUCAGCCACCAGGGUGCAGCUAGAAAUGUCUGCAUCUCCCGACUUGGAAAGGUGUUAUGGUGCCGCAACU
rnacentral:ncRNA from 2 species